CUACAAGCUCUUUCUCACAAUAACAAGUGUUUCAGGUUCAAGAGAAAGCUCUGCCAACAUUUUCACUCUACAUCUUCCAUUGAUACUCAGUAUACUUGUUUGUAUCACGCUUGUCAAAAGUGUGGUUAGGUGUAUAGUUCUAGUUAGAGCUCGAAGAGAUGAGAGCGAAGGCGGGAGUGAACGCAUUUGGCCCAUCUGAAGCAACGUUUUGGUUUGUAAAUAACAGGCGUCGAGCUUAUGACGUAAAGCAAGCAU